CGGAGUGUAGCGCAGUCUGGUAGCGCACAUCGUUCGGGACGAUGGGGUCGCAGGUUCAAAUCCUGCCACUCCGA
rfam:Mesorhizobium sp. SOD10 genome assembly, contig: MPLSOD_Contig_4